rnacentral:lncRNA from 1 species
AGUACGAAGGCUUUCGUACUUAUUAGUUAUUUUUAAUAAUAGGAUAUCCGAUUUGGCGAUGGUUCCAUUAAACAUGAUUUAUGCUAUUAAAAUUAUCUAGAAAAAAUAUUUCAUAAUUUUUUUAUUUCAUUUGUCUAGUGAACAAAUAGCCUAUCAUUUAAUAAAUAAUUACAAAAAUUAUAAAAUUUAGUUUCUAGACAGUUCCUAUAGCGUAGAUUAUACCUAACGGAGCCAAGUAUCGAAUUAGAUGUCCUAUCAUUGUAAUAAUAUGAAUGUUCAGGCUUUGAUGCAUGAAUUUUUUUUUGGAGAGAGAAAUAUAAUAUACUAUCCGAUUCGUUUAUUUUUUUUAGAAAUAAAAUUAGUGAAAAUGUGAAUAAAUUAGAAUUCGAACUUAAACCUCAGAUACCAACCAUCAAUCCUUUUACUACUUGCGCUUGGGACGGUCGGUAACGCAUGAAUAUUUUGUUAAUAUGUUUCUUUUGAUUCAAUCAAGAAAUUUGCAGUGUUUGGUUGAUAUCAUUAUAUCUGGUUUCAAAAAAUAUUUCUCAAGAUAAGUCAAAGGUAAAAAUAGUAUAAAACUUAUAUGGAUUAUGAAUAAUUUUGAAUUAGCUAUCCAAACUUUCAAAAUUUUAAUGUUACUAUCCAAUCACUUAAUUUGUUUGACUUGAGUCAAUCAACAACAGUUUGACUUUAAAAAAUAAACUAAUUGUUUUCUUUAACAAAUUUAUAUUUGCUAGAAUCACGUGAAAUAUACUAAAUAAACUCGUAAAGACGAGCAACACAAUAAAAUUUUGAAACAAAUUAAAAUUCUGAAUAAUAAAAUCAAAAUUUUGAAAAUUUAGAUAGCUAAAUCAAAAUGGCACAUAAUUCCUAAGUUAAAAUAUCUUACA